rnacentral:rRNA from 1 species
GACGAACGCUGGCGGCAUGCCUAAUACAUGCAAGUCGAGCGGAGUUGACGAGAAGCUUGCUUCUCUGAUACUUAGCGGCGGACGGGUGAGUAACACGUAGGCAACCUGCCUUUCAGUUUGGGAUAACUUCCGGAAACGGAUGCUAAUACCGAAUACAUCAUCUUCUGGCAUCAGAGAAUGAGGAAAGACGGCGCAAGCUGUCACUGAGAGAUGGGCCUGCGGCGCAUUAGCUAGUUGGUGGGGUAAUGGCUCACCAAGGCGACGAUGCGUAGCCGACCUGAGAGGGUGAACGGCCACACUGGGACUGAGACACGGCCCAGACUCCUACGGGAGGCAGCAGUAGGGAAUCUUCCACAAUGGGCGAAAGCCUGAUGGAGCAAUGCCGCGUGAGUGAUGAAGGUUUUCGGAUCGUAAAGCUCUGUUGCCAGGGAAGAACGUCCGGGUGAGUAACUGCACCCGGAGUGACGGUACCUGAGAAGAAAGCCCCGGCUAACUACGUGCCAGCCGCCGCCGUAA